rnacentral:tRNA from 1 species
GCCUUCGUGUUGUAGUGGUCAGCAUGCUGGACACGUAACCGAGAGGUCUGCGGUUCGAUUCCCGGUGAAGGCC